CCAACCGUGAGGUAGGGUCUGAAGGAAGCCGGAGGCAAAACCGCGGCCUGAUGAACAAGAACCCCAUACGAGGCUAGACCGUUCGGAUGAGCUGGCGUAACACAGCUAAAUCCCAGGCUGCCAAAGGACGGUAGAGUAAAUGGGGCAGGCGUGCGGGGAAAAUCAGCGUU
rfam:Thermosinus carboxydivorans Nor1 ctg44, whole genome shotgun sequence.